rnacentral:rRNA from 1 species
GAUGAACGCUGGCGGCGUGCCUAAUACAUGCAAGUCGAGCGAACGGACGAGAAGCUUGCUUCUCUGAUGUUAGCGGCGGACGGGUGAGUAACACGUGGAUAACCUACCUAUAAGACUGGGAUAACUUCGGGAAACCGCAGCUAAUACCGGAUAAUAUUUUGAACCGCAUGGUUCAAAAGUGAAAGACGGUCUUGCUGUCACUUAUAGAUGGAUCCGCGCUGCAUUAGCUAGUUGGUAAGGUAACGGCUUACCAAGGCAACGAUGCAUAGCCGACCUGAGAGGGUGAUCGGCCACACUGGAACUGAGACACGGUCCAGACUCCUACGGGAGGCAGCAGUAGGGAAUCUUCCGCAAUGGGCGAAAGCCUGACGGAGCAACGCCGCGUGAGUGAUGAAGGUCUUCGGAUCGUAAAACUCUGUUAUUAGGGAAGAACAUAUGUGUAAGUAACUGUGCACAUCUUGACGGUACUUAAUCAGAAAGCCACGGCUAACUACGUG